CUGACCCCAGGGAGAUUGAGUGGGGGGCCAGUCUGUGCUCAGUGACCUUCCUCCACCCCCCAGGAGCCAUGUCUAUGCCAUCCAGUGUCUCAGCCCCAACCCGGGGAAGCUUCCGGGCCUCUUUGAUGUGGGGCACGUGGCAGAGCAGCUGCGCCAGGCGGGCAUCCUGGAGGCUGUGUGUACCCGCAGCGCCAAUUUCCCCAUCCGUGUGCCCUUCCGGCUCUUCCUGGCCAGGUUCUGUUGCGAGAGCCAGGCUGGCAGCAGCUGGAGCAGCACCGGGCCGAGCAGCGCACCCAGGCCCUGCUCACCCUGCACCGAGGCCUCCGUGUCUGCAUCUCCUGCCAGCGCCUCCGUCUCUUGCCACGGAUGCAGGCUCGCAUGCGUGGGCUCCAAACCAGGUCUGCAGGGUGGGGUGAGGCUGUAAGCCUCCUCCAA
rnacentral:lncRNA from 1 species